GCCAUUUUGAUCUAAACCACUCUUAAAUUUCUGUUGCUACCUGUACAUCUGACUUAUCCCUUCUUCUAGACUGCAAACUCUUAGAAACCAAAUAUCAAGUAAUCUUAUACUUGAAAUUUGUUUUUAUUUUAUACUAAAUCAGAGUGAUGACUUAGGCUUUAUUUUGUAUAUCUUCCAGACACCCAUCAUCACCCCCCAAGUCUCCUGUCCUUUCUCCAUGCUGCCUUCUGACCCAGGUGACUAAUCUGGAUGGGCCACUGCAGCAAUUCUCAAAGUGUAGUCCCCAGACCCCUGGGUUUCCUCGAGACUUUUUCAGGAGAGUUCCCUGGACCCCUGAAAGCACUGAGUUCUGAUUUCUGAACUGAUCGACACUUGACUUUUACAAGAACCAAUGCCCUUCAAGCCUUGAUCAAGAAAUACAGUGCUAGAAGCUACCAUUCCCACCCCUGAUUCUCCCCGACCCUCAUGAUUCUAUCAGCAUUUGCUAUAUCCAAUCCUAGGACCACUGAAAGCACGUGAAGAAUCCUUGGAACUGUCUUGGGAAACCCUGACAAAUCCCCUGUGAGGACAGGUAUGGCCCUGAUUAAAAAAAAAAAUACUCUGAUGCCUCCAUAUGAUGGUUUCAUGAGGCCACUGGGCUCCUAAGCUUCACAGUUAUAAACAAGCUAUUUUGAAACAAUGGCUUAAAUUGUGUUAUUGGCCAGAAUUGCAUGAUUAUUCAAAUUCAGUGGGUUUACCUGGGUUAUAAGAUAAUUAGUAUUUUAUGAGUAUUAACCUGCUAGAAUAAUUUAAAAUUUUAAAGCACUUGAAUGUUAUUGGUUGAAACAAGUGGGAAUUUGAAAUUGUCAGAACCCCUACCUCCAAGAAAAAAUUUGACCCUAAGGAAAAAGUUAUCCAUCAGUAAGUGAAAGCCUCCAUCAACGAGCUACACUGGCC
rnacentral:lncRNA from 1 species